rnacentral:rRNA from 1 species
GACGAACGCUGGCGGCGUGCCUAAUACAUGCAAGUAGGACGCAGUUGCGAACGGGUGAGUAACGCGUAGGUAACUACCUAUUAGAGGGGGGUAACUCUUGGAAACGAUAGCUAAUACCGCAUACUCGUAGAUGGACCUGCGUUGUAUUAGCUAGUAGGUAGGGUAAUGGCCUACCUAGGCAACGCUCCAUAGCCGACCGUGGAGGGGGAUCGGCCAAAAUGGGACUGAGACACGGCCCAGACUCCGAAGGGAGGCAGCAGUAGGGAAUCGUCGGCAAUGGGGGGAACCUUGACCGAGCAACGCCGCGGGAGGGAAGAAGGUUGUCGGAUGGGAAAGCUCUGUUGUUAAGGAAGCGGUACUUAACCAGAAAGGGACGGCUAACUACGUGCCAGCAGCCGCGGUAAUAC